rnacentral:snoRNA from 1 species
CCGUUGUGAUGAUGGUUUCAAAACACAUUCUUAGUUUCAGUCAGAAACCUUGUGUUGGCCAGUUCCUCCCUUGGAUGUCUGAGUUAUGG